CAGUCGCCACGGGAAUACGAAGGGGGCUAGCGUUGUUCGGAAUUACUGGGCGUAAAGCGCACGUAGGCGGAUAUUUAAGUCAGGGGUGAAAUCCCAGAGCUCAACUCUGGAACUGCCUUUGAUACUGGGUAUCUUGAGUAUGGAAGAGGUGAGUGGAAUUCCGAGUGUAGAGGUGAAAUUCGUAGAUAUUCGGAGGAACACCAGUGGCGAAGGCGGCUCACUGGUCCAUUACUGACGCUGAGGUGCGAAAGCGUGGGGAGCAAACAGGAUUAGAUACCCCCGUAGUCCCUGUCUCUUAUAA
rnacentral:rRNA from 1 species